UCCACAUCCCCCUGCCUUUUCCGAGAAAAGGACAGUUAGUGCCUGGACCAGGACCAUCACACUGGGGACCGGCUUCUCUGCUCUCCCGUUAUGGGGGUCGGGGGAAUGAUGGGUCAAGGGUCUUCCGAAGAAAGCGAGAAAGGAACAGGCGCCUUCAAAAGCCCACUUGGCGAUGGGUUACAGUAAGAGGAAGUCUGCAUUAUCACGAGGAGCUUGGAAAGGAGGUAACACACUCAAGGCAAAUUUCAAGUAACUCAUCCUGGAGGCAGCUGCCUACUCUGCAGCUGUGGUUCUCCACCACAGAGAGAAGAAAAGGGAGGGAGAUGGAGUGCGCAGGUCUGAGAAGGCUUUCAUUCUGGAGCAUCUGCAGGAGCCUGCACCAUGGCCCAGUAGCACCCCUUUUUCUCCAUGAGCUGCUGGUGGGUUCCCCCCUCCCGGAUAGCGCCUCCUUCCAGAAAGAGGAUGUGGUCAGCCUGCUCCACCAGGCUGAGGUGCUGGGUGAUGAGAAGCACUGAGCGGGAGUACCGCUCAGGGCUUUCGUACAGGAGCUGCUCCACCUGAGGAAAGACAUCGGACCGUCAGAGCCGGGGACUACCCUCAGCCCAGGGAGACACCUGUGUUUCCAGGGCUGGGACUGACCUCACAGGAUCACUGCUGGCUCUGCUAACAACCCCAAGGACACCAACGUUUCCCAUUCUGAGUACUUCUCCGCAAACCCUUUGUUUCAUUAAGGACUGUUUUACAUGAAGGGUGCAAAAGUAGGAUAAAAAUGAGAACCCUAGGGUGAAACACGUGACAGAAGAAUAAAGACUAUUGAAUAGUCCUCUUCUCUACCCAUGGACUUGGCAUUUUUAUAUUCGAUUUUAAGGAAAUAUAACUUAGUAGUAAAGAGAUGAGCAUUCAAGUCAGGCAGACCUGAAUUUGGGUCAAGGCUGCGCCACUCAAAAGCUAUAUGACCUCUAUAUGAGCAGCUUAUUCAACCUCUUUUAACCUCCAUUUUGUCAUCUGUAGAAUGAUGAUAAAUGCCUAGCUCAGAAGGAUUCCUAAUGAAUAAAUGAGUGACAGUGCAUGUAAACAGACUAGCUUAAUUAAUAUUAAUAUGAUUAGGAUGGGCUGGGCCCGGUGGCUCAUGCCUAUAAUCCUAGCACUUUGGGAGGUCAAGGAGGGAGGAUCACUUGGGCCCAGGAGUUCAAGGCCAGCCUGGGCAACAUAGCGGGACGCUGUCUGUACAAAAAAUAAUUUUUUUAAAUAAACGAUAUUAUGAGGA
rnacentral:lncRNA from 10 species